AUAUAUAUUCAAUUUUUUGGCUAAAAUCAAAGUGCAGUAUCUGUUCUUAUCAGCUCAAUAUCUGGUACGAUCCCCACGUGUGAUUUACGAUAUUAAACUGAUUUUCGGAUUAUGGCGAAGUGCUAAGGGCUUGUUCCACCUUUGCCGCGGAUCGGCCCGGUAUUGCAGUAACCCAAGGAUUGGUAAACCGAGC
rnacentral:snRNA from 1 species